GAUGAACGCUGGCGGCGUGCCUAAUACAUGCAAGUCGAGCGAACAGGCGAGGAGCUUGCUCCUCUGACGUUAGCGGCGGACGGGUGAGUAACACGUGGAUAACCUACCUAUAAGACUGGGAUAACUUCGGGAAACCGGAGCUAAUACCGGAUAAUAUAUUGAACCGCAUGGUUCAAUAGUGAAAGACGGUUUUGCUGUCACUUAUAGAUGGAUCCGCGCCGCAUUAGCUAGUUGGUAAGGUAACGGCUUACCAAGGCAACGAUGCGUAGCCGACCUGAGAGGGUGAUCGGCCACACUGGAACUGAGACACGGUCCAGACUCCUACGGGAGGCAGCAGUAGGGAAUCUUCCGCAAUGGGCGAAAGCCUGACGGAGCAACGCCGCGUGAGUGAUGAAGGUCUUCGGAUCGAAAAACUCUGUUAUUAGGGAAGAACAAAUGUGUAAGUAACUAUGCACGUCUUGACGGUACCUAAUCAGAAAGCCACGGCUAACUACGUG
rnacentral:rRNA from 1 species